GAGACUAUUAUUAAAAUAAUGCUAUGUAUCAAAGGAGUCUAAUUAUAUAUAUAUAGAUUAAAAUAUCUUAAUAUAUUAUAAACUCUAAGAAAAAUCUAAUAGUAAACGAAGUGAAAUGAAAUAUCUAAGUAACUUCAGGAAAAUAAAUCAAAAGAGAUUCUAUUAAUAACAAGAGUAAAAGUAGAGUAGCUAUAUAGUAAAAAAGGGUAAAAACUGUUUGAAUUAAAGGGGAACCUUCCUCAAAGGCUAAAUAUGAUAGAUAAGCGAUAGUGAAGAGUACCGUGAGGGACUAUUUAUAAUAGUAGGUUUUAUAAGCAGUUCAAUAUAAAGAACAUACCUUUUGCAUAAUGGGUCACCAAGUUAACCUUAGAUGCGAGUAUAAGCUUAGUUAAACCGAAGUACAAAAAUAAAUAGUGUCUAAAGUUAGACCCGAAGCACGGUGAUUUUACUACAGUCAGGAUUAUAAAAGUCCGAACGGGUGAUUGUUGCAAAAAUCUCCGAAGAACUGUGGUAGGUGUGGUGAAAGACAAUACUGACCGUGAUAGCUGGUUUUCUGCGAAACCUAUAAUAGUAGGAAAUUUGAGUAAUCCUCUUGCAGGUACAGAAAUCUUAUCUUAGACAAGACGAAGAACGUCGGGUCUCUCGACGUUUUAGUUUGUAAUAUUUGGGGGAUCGUGAAGAUUUUAUCAGUAUGUAUACAGACUCGGAAUGGCCAGAGAUGUCUCAGAUUAUCAGACAUAGAAUGAUAAGGUUGUAUGUCAAAAGGGAAACAGCCCAGAACAAGAGUUAAGGUUCCUAAAUUAUUAGUUAAGUGAAAUUAAGGGAGUUUUUAUUAAAGUCGACAAGGAACAUAGGCCUAGAAGCAGCCACAAUUUAAUGAACUCGUAAUAGAACACUAGUUAAGUUAUAGAAGCAUCAAAAAUUUAACGGAUCUAAACAAUAUACCGAAACCUUGUCCAUAAUAUAUUAUAUUAAUAAUUAAUAUAAUUAAAUGGGGUAGCAGAACGUUGAGUAAAGAACAAUUAUUCUUUUUUAAAGAAUAAUUAUAUAAGGUAUUUUUAGUAUAAUUAUUGUAUUAAUUUCUAUUCUUAUUUUUAAUUAAGCUUAGGAGACAACAAAUUGUACAAAGUGGCAAUAUGCGUGCAUAUGUGCGUGCGUAGACAAGGCGAAGAUAAAAAAGGGCAAAAUUACAAAUAAGAAAAAAAAUUAAAUUUAAAAUACUAGUUUAAUAAUCGAAAACUCAAGUGAGAAUGGUGACAUUAGUAACUAAAAAGAAAAAUAAAAGUUCCGCCUUAAGCUUAUGGAUAUAUUAAGUAACGCCGGCCUCUAAGUAAAAAAAAAAAAUCUAAAGAUUUAAACGAUGAGAAAAUCUUUUUUACUAAGGACAACAUUUAAGUUGAAGAUGUGCUGGAAAAAUAGUAAUAUAUUUGUUUAAUUAUUAUUUUUUUAUUUUUAGGGUGGCGGCCAGGGUAAGCAAGUAGACCCCCCGUUAAAAAUUUAGUAUUGUCGCGAGGGUCUCUCUGGCGACAAUACCCCUUUUUAGGGGGGGGGGGGAAGCAGCUUUAAAAAUAAAAAAAAAAUGACUUUUUUUUGGUCCCCUUGUUUUUUAAAUCUAAAGAUUUAAAAGCAAAUUUAGAAAUAAUUACCCUAUUUACCUUUAUAAGGGGAAAUAGGGGGGGGGGGAAAUAGGGCGGGGGUUUAAAGGAGUUUUUAGUCGUAUGGCUCGCUUCGCCCAAAAUGCACCAAAAAUACAAACGAACAAUAACCGUACCUAGAAUCUGAAUCAAGAAAGCUAGUAGAGAAUACGAAGGCGAUUGAGCUAACAAUCAUAAAGGAACUCGGCAAAUUGACUACACGUAACUUCGGAAUAAGGGGGGCUCUUUAGUCCUGGUUAAUAUCAGGUAAAAAGGAAGAAACAUAAAAUAAUGUUGUACGACUGUUUAAUUAAAACACAGCACAUUGCCAAGAUAAAAAAAUCGAAGUAUUAGGUGCGAAAUCUGCCCCUAUGUCGGCCAUGGUUAACAGAGCUAAUUUAGUAUUGUUAUAUUGGAUGAGGCGACGGAAACCCCGAUGAAUGGCGGCCUUAACGUGAGGGUUCGUAACAGGGGCCCUGUUUAAAUCCAGGAUAUUGCUGGGACGAAGUGAAAAUAACUAACUUCACUUCCAAUCAGCAGGAAAAAAUAAAAUUAAGGGCAGUUCGCCACAAUACUAAAAUGAAAUUUUUAUACACUAAUCUUCGAGCUUAUAGUACUCAAGCUCUUAGUGAUAACCAUAAGUAUUGAUUAGGGGAUUUGUUGAAGGUGAAGGGUCUUUACUUGUAUCUAUCGUUGUUAAUCCAAAAAUUAAACAAGGUAUAGCUUUGCAGCCAGAAUUUAAUGUAACUCAACACGAAAGUGGUUUAAAUAUUUUGAAAUCAUACAAAACAUUAUUUAAUGGUUCAGGUAAUUUAAAAGAGAAAUCUGGAUCAAAUCAAGUUUGAGUUUAUUCUCUAAAAGGAACUAAGAAUAUUAAACAACUUGUCUUACCUUAUUAUGAACAAUAUGUUGUUCCUUUUUCUAGUAAACAUAAAACAGAUGUGUUUAAUAAAUUUAAAUCUAUUAUAGAAGUCUUGUAUGCUAACCUUGGACAAGGAUUGGAUAAAAAACAAUUAAUAGAACUUAUUCAUUUAAUAUAUUUAAUGAAUCCGGAUAGUAAAGGAAAAUCACGUAAAAGAGAUAUUCAAGAAGUUAUUGAAAUAAUUAAUAACAUAAGUUCUUUAACAAAUUCUACCUAAAAGUCUAAAGGUUUUGCCUUUUGAUUUAGGUUUUAUUAAUCUUCAGAGACCACAAUCUGGACACUUUAAAUAUUAAAGUGAAUGUAUGGUCCAACACACAAAAAAUAAAUAAAUUGUGUGUAGCCUAAGGUAGCGAAAUGCCUUGGCCGUUAAAUGCGGUCUUGCAUGAGUGGUGUAACGAUACAGCAGCUGUCUCUAUGAUUGACUCAGUGAAGUUGGAAUAGACAAAUCCCCAAUGCACCCCUCUUCACAGACCAAGAUCACGCCUCACAUUCGCACGAACCUUGUCCUCAUACUCAGCCCUCCUCUCGCGCCACAUCUUAGCCGCCUCCACAUUCGCCGGACUUUCAUCGUUGGGCUCCG
rnacentral:ncRNA from 1 species